AAAGGAAGAUAGAUAUCUUGGUGUCUUGGCCUUCCUCAUGCUGACCUGUUGCUGUGUGGUUGGAUCCUUCCAUGUCAGAAGCAGUUUUGAAGGGCCAGCAGCUCUCCAGGAAUUUUUCAGUUUUGACAGGAGGUGGGGACCACUGAGGUGCCUAGCCUUGGGGACUGAGCAUCAAUUGAAUUUGCCAGCCUCCCUAGUGAGAAUCACUGUGGAUUACCCUGACCACUGAGCCACCCAAGGAUACAGAAACUACCAAAUUCUCAGCCCCUCAGCUGUAAUUCAGCAGUUUUUUGCUAUUUCAAUGUAAGCUUAAUAAUACAUUCACAGACACAGACAGACAGACAGACAGACAGACACACACACACACACACACACACACACUCACCCCGUUGGUUCUGUUCCUCUAGACAACCUUGAUUGAUACAAACUGUGGUAUAAGGAGUGGUCCUGGAGGAACAGAAAUGUAGGCAUGAGUUUCUCUAGUGGUCCUGGUGGUAACUGGGGGUAGCUCUCCAGCUGGGUGAAACCUGAGGUCAUUUACGACUCUUCUGGUAGCAUGGGGGAAAACUAACAGUCCGUGAUGUGAACCGUUUCAAGAACUCACCAAGACACAUGCAUUUGGUGCUCUCAAUUCACCUCUGUGCGCUGUAAAGAAUGUAAUAGCUGUGUAAAAGUCUAUGAGCUUUUGUGGAAAAGUAAGAAAAAUGCUGCUGCUGACUUCUUUGGACAAUUUUAGAAAAGAAAAGAAACAAGAUAAGAGCCGGUGAUGACUUCAUCUAAAGGAGAUGUCAGAGAGAACAGUGCUGCUGUCCCUCAGGAGCCACCUGUCAUUGCCUCUAGACCUAUCUUGAUGGUUAGGUUAAGCAGACCCCAGCGUUGAGAAUGAAAUUGUGGUCCGUGAGAAGCAGUGUGUUGUGCCCUAUCUUUCAAGAAUGAGUGUGCAACAGGGUCUAUUGAUUUCCGGUUUUGCAGUGAGCAUAUUACAAUAGCCCUUAGUUUCACAGGAAAGAAGCCUCCUGGAAAUGGUUCUUCUCCCUCUGACCAUGCCUGGAAACAUCGGUGAAAAUUCUCCAAUGAAUGCAGAAAAAGACACAGGAGAUCAAGG